CAGACGAUAGCUCAUCCGGUAGAGCAUCGGACUUCGGAUCCGAAUGUAGUGGGUUCGAAUCCCACUCGUUGACCA
rnacentral:tRNA from 1 species